UAGGGAAUAUUGCACAAUGGGCGCAAGCCUGAUGCAGCUAUGCCGCGUGGAGGAUGAAGGCCUUCGGGUCGUAAACUCCUUUUCUGAGGAAAGAAUAGCCGAGAGAGGAAAUGCCCUUGGUUUGACGGUACCUCAGGAAUAAGCAACGGCUAACUCCGUGCCAGCAGCCGCGGUAAUACGGAGGUUGCGAGCGUUGUUCGGAAUUACUGGGCGUAAAGGGAGCGCAGGCGGUCCGGUCAGUCUAAAGUGAAAUCCCGGGGCUUAACCUUGGAAGUGCUUUGGAUACUGCCGGACUUGAGUACGUGAGAGGAGAGCGGAAUUCCAGGUGUAGCGGUGAAAUGCGUAGAUAUCUGGAGGAACACCUGUGGCGAAAGCGGCUCUCUGGCACGAAACUGACGCUGAGGCUCGAAAGCGUGGGGAGCAAACG
rnacentral:rRNA from 1 species